UAGGCCUUUUGGUCAAACUUGGUUACAAGUUUAUAAUAAAGAAUAAUUUUUGUGAUAUCAUUAUGAAUGAUACUACAAGUAUGUGUGGAUAAUUGAAACAUAGCAUAUACAUAAUAUCACGAUCUGUUAGUGUAAUAUACACACCUAGUAAAUGUCCUAAACUAAAUAAUAUCAGUGAAUCCUACCUUUGACAUUGUAGUCUUGGUC
rnacentral:lncRNA from 1 species